rnacentral:tmRNA from 4 species
GGGGGCGACUGGCUUCGACGGGACGGUCUGAUUCCGGGAGAAGCAUGCCGAGGCCUACUCCUCGUAAAAAAGGUAGACAAACACAGUCGGCAACGACUACAAUUACGCCCUGGCCGCUUAAGCCGGCCAGCGUCUUUUUUGCCCACUCCUGCGGGGCCUAAGAGACGACAAUUAGCAGGAUGGCCUCUGGGGCUCGGUCCGAAGGACCUGGAGGCGAGAUCUAAACGGGCUGGCUUUCCGGAUGUAAGCCUGCAGGGUGCCGGAAAGCGAGACCUUAACCCUACAGGAUAAGCAUGUAGAAGAACCGGGUAAGCGUUGCCGGACGCGGGUUCGAUUCCCGCCGCCUCCACCA